rnacentral:rRNA from 1 species
GCAAGUCGAGCGCAUCCUUCGGGAUGAGCGGCGGACGGGUUAGUAACGCGUGGGAACGUGCCCUUCUCUAAGGAAUAGCCACUGGAAACGGUGAGUAAUACCUUAUACGCCCUUCGGGGGAAAGAUUUAUCGGAGAAGGAUCGGCCCGCGUUAGAUUAGAUAGUUGGUGAGGUAAUGGCUCACCAAGCCUACGAUCUAUAGCUGGUUUGAGAGGAUGAUC